UAGUCCACGCCGUAAACGAUGAAUACUAGGUGUAGGAGGUAUCGACCCCUUCUGUGCCGCAGUUAACACAAUAAGUAUUCCGCCUGGGGAGUACGAUCGCAAGAUUAAAACUCAAAGGAAUUGACGGGGGCCCGCACAAGCAGCGGAGCAUGUGGUUUAAUUCGAAGCAACGCGAAGAACCUUACCUAGACUUGACAUCUCCUGAAUUACCCUUAAUCGGGGAAGCCCUUCGGGGUCAGGAAGACAGGUGGUGCAUGGUUGUCGUCAGCUCGUGUCGUGAGAUGUUGGGUUAAGGUCCCGCAACGAGCGCAACCCUUAUCAUUAGUUGCUACCAUUAAAGUUGAGCACUCUAGUGAGACUGCCACGGUUAACGUGGAGGAAGGUGGGGAUGACGUCAAAUCAUCAUGCCCUUUAUGUCUAGGGUUACACACGUGCUACAAUGGUGAGUACAAAAGAGAUGCAAUACCGCGAGGUGGAGCCAAAAUCUCAAAAAUCUCAUCCCAGUUCGGAUUGUAGGCUGAAACUCGCCUACAUGAAGCCGGAGUUGCUAGUAAUCGCGAAUCAGCAUGUCGCGGUGAAUACGCUCCCGGGCCUUGUACACACCGCCCGUCACACCAUGAGAGC
rnacentral:rRNA from 1 species